rnacentral:tRNA from 1 species
AGAGGAGUGGCUCAACGGUAGAGCAGCGGUCUCCAAAACCGCCGGUUGCGUGUUCGAAUCGCGUCUCCUCUGCCA